rnacentral:lncRNA from 1 species
CCUUGGUAGCCUCAGAUACAAAAGUCAUGAAUACAAAGUUUGUCCAGCUCAUCAAGAUACACACUGUGUGUAAGGGUCAACUUUUCAUCUGAGAGAGUUUGGACCACUCAAAAUUUGAAAUUUCACAUUUCCACAGCUACACACACGUUUUCAAAACCCGAGACGUCCCCAACUCGAAAAGUCAUGAAUACAAAGUUUGUUCCACUCAUCAAGAUAUAC